rnacentral:piRNA from 1 species
UAAUAGCCUUCCAGAAACGCACCGCUCU